UCGAGAAUCUUUCACAAUGGGGGCAACCCUGAUGGAGCGACGCCGCGUGGAGGAUAAGGUCUUCGGAUUGUAAACUCCUGUCAUGCGUGAACAAGGCUGCAGGGAUAAUACCUUUGCAGAUUGAUGGUAACGCAAGAGGAAGAGACGGCUAACUCUGUGCCAGCAGCCGCGGUAAUACAGAGGUCUCAAGCGUUGUUCGGAAUCACUGGGCGUAAAGGGUGCGUAGGUGGCGUGGCAAGUCAGAUGUGAAAGCCCGGGGCUCAACCCCGGAACUGCAUCCGAUACUGCCAUGCUGGAGUACUGAAGGGGUGACUAGAAUUCUCGGUGUAGCAGUGAAAUGCGUAGAUAUCGAGAGGAAUACCAAAGGCGAAGGCAGGUCACUGGGCAGUUACUGACACUGAGGCACGAAGGCCAGGGGAGCAAACG
rnacentral:rRNA from 1 species